UGGGGAAUUUUCCGGCUAAUGGGCGAAAGGCCUGACGGAGCAAUGCCGCGUGGAGGUGGAAGGCCUACGGGUCGUCAACUUCUUUUCUCGGAGAAGAAACAAUGACGGUAUCUGAGGAAUAAGCAUCGGCUAACUCUGUGCCAG
rnacentral:rRNA from 1 species